rnacentral:rRNA from 1 species
CCUACGGGAUGCAGCAGUGGGGGAUAUUGCACAAUGGGGGAAACCCUGAUGCAGCGACGCCGCGUGUGGGAAGACGGUCCUCUGGAUUGUAAACCACUGUCCCCAGGGACGAAGAUGACGGUACCUGGGGAGGAAGCUCCGGCUAACUACGUGCCAGCAUCCGCGGUAAUACGUAGGGAGCGAGGGUUGUCCGGAAUUACGGGGUGUAAAGGGAGCGUAGGCGGGGAUGCAAGUUGGGUGUCAAGACUACCGGCUAAACUGGUAGUCGCACUCAAAACUGGAGCUCUUGAGUGAAGUAGAGGCAGGCGGAAUUCCUAGUGUAGCGGUGAAAUGCGUAGAUAUUAUGAAGAACACCAGUGGCGAAGGCGGCCUGCUGGGCUUUUACUGACGCUGAGGCUCGAAAGUGUGGGGAGCAAACAGGAUUAGAUACCCCUGUAGUC